UUGACCUCGGAUCAGGUAGGAAUACCCGCUGAACUUAAGCAUAUCAAUAAGCGGAGGAAAGA
rnacentral:rRNA from 1 species